UACGACACUGGGUGGUUUGGUGUAUGUGUGUCUCUGUGUGUGUGCGUGUGCGCGCGUGUGUAUAUGUCCUUUUUUUUUUACUUUUUUACAUCACCUUCCUACACCUAGUGCUCGGCCGCCGGAACCUUGUUGCCAGGGGAGACGGCCGCUUUACGGCAGCACGUUUGAACCGGCAGGAGGGAAAAGUUUCUUCUUCGCUCCGCUUGGGCGCGACGCAGGUUAAUACGGGAAGAACUCGUGCAUCGUAUUUGCAGGCAGAUUCACUGGAGAGUGAUCCUGGGCGCCAUUUCAGAUUUCAUUGAGUGACAGAUUUAUGAAGAGGCUCAUCGAGUCUAGCAUCCCGCUCCCCACAGGUGUCUUGGGGAAGCCUGCAACCCAGGGGCAUGAAAGCAGUACUGUAUCUCUUCCUUGCUGCAGCUCCCCAGUAUACAGUACAGUGAUGCACAGGCUUGUUCCCUGCAGCCAUCCAGAUGUGGGCUAGAUUAAAAAGCAUUUGCAAAAUCAGGGCGAGCCAUUGAAAAUAGAAGUCCGGCCCAAAGUUGGUAAUACUACGCCUCGCAAUGCGAGGGCGCGCUUGAAAAAAGAAGGCUCCCCUUCAAACUUGACUGUGUCAGAAAUGUUGGGAGAAUCUGCAGUGGAAGGAGCAACCUCGAGACAGAAGCUGCUCCUUUUCGGGGUUCCCGUUGCAUCCAGUAGAUCCAGACCUUCCUUCUGCCCACAGUCCCAGCGUGAGGGAUUCACCUUGGUGAGCAGGGAGGAAACGCGAGUGGUUGCAUGAGAUCAGCCUCCUCCUCGCUGGCGUCUCAACAGCGAGCCCGGGCUCUGCUUCCAAAAGGGGCUGAGCUGGCAUUCGUAGAUCCGGACGAGAAGGUCGAGGCCGGCCCCUUAAUUGGCCUGAGGCGCCCUCUGCUGGACAUUGCUCGGAAUCUCAGCCACGCAGCUCAUUUCCGCAAGCGGCCGGCCAGCUGGUGGCUCUUCCCCAGGCGAGAACCGGGAAAACAACGCGCGUGGCCUGAGGCCUCUUCUGCAGCACUCCCAUGAGAAAAGAACACGAACAAGCCCAAAACUACAGGGGGAUACACAGGUUAAGAACAGCAUCUGAAGAGAUCGUCAUGUCACUUAGCAACAAUGGCUUGAAGAUUUUCCUCCUGUAAAGGGAAAAGAAGCAACGAGGCUGCAUUUCCAGCAAUGCUUGCUAUUGUAGGCGAAUUCAGGAAAGGUGCUGCCACAAAUCUGCAUCUUGAAGGUAUUUCAAUGUGGCAGCCGAUUUAGAAUGAAUACAAUAUAACCAGCCAAAAGAGGUGGCUCUCUCGAGGGAAGGUUCUUAAUUACCAAGAAAGUCCCCACAUUGCCACCACAGGUUUUUUGUAAGGCUUUGCAUUUCUGAUGAAAAUGAUGUCCUCUGUUUUGAAAAGGAAGCUCCAACCAUUGCAAGCCUUGGCAGGUUUUCUGAGAGAGAUAAGGAAUAGCCAGGCCUCUGUUACCCAAUCAGCUCAACAAAAACAAAUCUUUUUACCUAGACCUCUCAGUUCUUUGGACAUUAAAACAUUUCCUUGUGUCCUGGAAUCUUUAUGAGUAGAUGAUAAAAUCUCAGUCAAAAUCCACCCACGCUGGUUAUUCUCCCCCCUCAAAUGCUUGAAGCUUCCUUUCCAUGAAUCCCCUGGCUUUCGCUGCUUCCCAGAACACCACCAGAGCCACAUUGCCAACAGUGCAGUGGAAAACGGAGAAAGAUAAUGAGAAAGGUUGAUUUACCAUUUCUGUGAUCUCCGCAAUGUCCUCUCUGUGUUCCCAGCUUGGAAACAUAUUGGUGAAGGUCAGAGGUUCGAGACCAGCAUGAAUUAGGUAAGAUUUGGGAGGUUUCUUCACAUUUUUUCCUAUACAUAAAAAGAAAUCAAAAUAAAUAUAGAAUACCUUGCCACCUUAUUAAAAGGUUCAUUAAAAGGUUCAUUAAAAGAACCUUUUAAUGAGGGUGAAAGAGGAGAGCGCAAAAUAUGGUCUGAAGCUCAACAUCAAAAAAACCAAGAUCAUGGCCACUGGUCCCAUCACCUCCUGGCAAAUAGAAGGGGAAGAAAUGGAGGCAGUGAGAGAUUUUACUUUCUUGGGCUCCUUGAUCACUGCAGAUGGUGACAGCAGUCACGAAAUUAAAAGACGCCUGCUUCUUGGGAGAAAAGCAAUGACAAACCUAGACAGCAUCUUAAAAAGCAGAGACAUCACUUUGCCGACAAAGGUCCGUAUAGUUAAAGCUAUGGUUUUCCCAGUAGUGAUGUAUGGAAGUGAGAGCUGGACCAUAAAGAAGGCUGAUCGCCGAAGAAUUGAUGCUUUUGAAUUAUGGUGCUGGAGGAGACUCUUGAGAGUCCCAUGGACUGCAAGAAGAUCAAACCUAUCCAUUCUUAAGGAAAUCAGCCCUGAGUGCUCCCUGGAGGGACGGAUCGUGAAGCUGAGGCUCCAAUACUUUGGCCACCUCAUGAGAAGAGAAGAAUCCUUGGAAAAGACCCUGAUGUUGGGAAAGAUUGAGGGCACUAGGAGAAGGGGACGACAGAGGACAAGAUGGUUGGACAGUGUUCUCGAAGCUACGAACAUGAGUUUGACCAAACUGCGGGAGGCAGUGCAAGACAGGAGUGCCUGGCGUGCUAUGAUCCAUGGGGUCACGAAGAGUCGGACACGACUAAACGACUAAACAACAACACCUUGCCACCUUCUUCUAAGACUUUUGUGAAUUUUCCACUUAUCUGAAAAAAGGCUUUCUGUUGUAAACCUUUCAAACGAAGUGUCCAGAUUACCCAGGACCAUAUUGUUUUAAGGCUCUCCUUAGCUCAUAGGAACCUGUUUCAGCCUAAAUAGCAGCCUGUCUUUCCUGGAUAUUCCUUUGUGGGCCCUAGCGACGAGGUCUUCUCAAUUGCAGAAUUCCAUCCUUAGAUGCAAAGGUGCUGCGGCAGAAAACCUGCAUAUUCUAGAAGGUUGCUGGCCUGCAACUCCCAUCACAGGAUCCCACCCCCUACACUUGGGAGAUCCUUCUCACUGCUUUUAGAUGGGUUCUGAAAACCUUUUUAUUGCAAUUAAUGUUGCAUUUUUAAAAGUUAACUGAAUUAAGUUGCUUUGUUGAAAAACAGAACACAAACAAACUGAAAUAAAUCAAUAAAAGCAGUUGCCUUUUAUAACAAGACAGAACACUGGUUGACUGAUCCCAGUAUUUCCUACUUGGAAUGGCUAAAGCCUUUCCUGACCCUGCUAAGAGAGGCUUAACCAUAGUCUGCUUCAGACAACUUGGUCUGAAAGCCUAUGAUGCGGUAGGCUUGCUGGAGCUACACAGGCCUGGGUCUAUUUGUGCCCAGAAUUGAGACCUCUUGCAUCUACCUUCAAGGGCUUGAGGAAGGAAAAUGGAUGUUACUGCCAAGACAAAUGGUUUUUUCUCCAACUAAGUUCUAUUAACUAUAAAGGUAAAGGUAAAGGGACCCCUGACCAUUAGGUCCAGUCGUGACCGACUCUGGGGUUGCGCGCUCAUCUCGCAUUAUUGGCCGAGGGAGCCGGCGUACAGCUUCCAGGUCAUGUGGCCAGCAUGACAAAGCCGCUUCUGGCAAACCAGAGCAGCACAUGGAAACGCCGUUUACCUUCCCGCUGUAGCGGUUCCUAUUUAUCUACUUGCAUUUUGACGUGCUUUCGAACUGCUAGGUUGGCAGGAGCUGGGACCAAGCAACGGGAGCUCACCCCGUCACAGGGAUUCGAACCGCCAACCUUCUGAUCAGCAAGCCCUAGGCUCAGUGGUUUAACCACAGCGCCACCUGGGUCCCUCUAUUAACUAUACCUUUUGAAAUUAAUGGAUCUCAGUUACCCAUACCCAUUAAUUGUAAUGAGUCUACACUGGGUACAAUCCCAAUGAUUUUUAUCCAUUGCAUAUAGCUGCAGAUAAUAGCUACAAAUAUUCAGUGUGGAUGCCUGACCUCAAGACAGCAUAGGAAAAGCUAUCUCCAGAAACUAGUGGCAACAAUAUCACUUAAAUUGACUAGGAUGGAUUGUUGGAGAAGUCCAUGUAAUAUCACAGCCUCUCUUCUACAAAUUUCCCAACAUACAAGCACCAGAACCCCAUGCUGAAGCUAGAAAAGAAUUAGUGUAACAGUUCCCCAAGUGCCUUUUUAAAAAUAUGGGAGUGCUUACCAUUGUGUAAGCAGCAGCUCACACCUACAGUGCAGUUUAAUCUGCAUGUGUGCAAUUAAAAGUCUUCUGAUGUUCUAACUACAACAGUGGAAGCUGCUUGAAUUUGGCAGUGAUGCCACAGCAACAGUUUGACAAAAGUCCAAACUUUGCAAAUAUGCCAGUCUGGAUAGAGUGCUUCCCUUUAUCUCUCCCUGACCUAGGCUCUUACAGUCUUCCUUAUAGUGUGUAUCAUCUGCAGAACGACAGCGGCAGUGGUGCCCCUACAAGCCCCUGAGUCAAGCCUACUGCCAUCUGCCUGACUCCAUCACUUCAACUUUUUAAUCUGAUCUUGGGUGUUGUUUCUUUGUGGUGGUAUAUGAUGGCAAAGUUUUGGGGAAAGUUUAAACAGACAAGUUCAGUCAUCACCCAAUCUGGUUUAGCUCUCAUUAUUAAUGUAUAUAUUUUGUGGUUGCCAUCUGUCUCGAGCCAAUGGAAUACAUAUGGAAAUCAUUGCAAAUGGAACAGUACAGUACAUAUUCAAUACAUUUCUAUUGUGAGAUUCACACCAAACUGGAAAAGUAAUUGUAAGGGGAUGGGCUUACAGAGAACAGCCACCUCUCAUCAAAUCCAGUUCUUUGAACGGCUCUGACAACAGCGGAGGGGCAGGAGACACAAAGGAGGAAAUGAGCAGAGGGGUGCAGGGCUCAGGCAGCCUCCAGGAGCGCUGCCUACAGUCCGUGAUACCAGCAAGGGAGGAGAGGCCAGCAGAGGUUUCUAGUGGGGAAACAUCAGAGGGGCGUCCUUUCAAAUUCACCCCAGAACUGAGGCGAUCAACGGCUCGCAAACGCAGGGGGUGGAGAUUUGGGUCCCCAAACUACUCUGCUAGGGGAGGAGCUGAAAAGCGCCAUUGGGAGAAUCUGAUGAUACUGAGUAGACAUGUUUUCAUGAAGCUCUUGCACUGUAAAUAAUAUUCACAAUAAAAGUCUUAAAGACAA